rnacentral:misc_RNA from 1 species
AAGUCGUAACAAGGUUUCCGUAGGUGAACCUGCGGAAGGAUCAUUGGUUAGAGAGAGAGGGGAAUGGGUUGGAAUGUGGGUUUGAUAUCAAGUGACAAAUGUAUUUUAUACGAUAUAACUAGCCACCUGGGAUCUCUGGGCUCUU